GCAGUACGAGGAUCCGGCAUAUCAGGUUACACAUCUAAAUUUUAUUUUUAUAGUUUAAUGACUUAAUCAUUUAUUCUUAAAUUAAAUUUUUUAUCUAAUUUUACUGAUAAUUUUACAGAGACAAUGUGCCCAGAAUGCGACGAAUUGGGCAUGACAGACCAUGCCGCAUUGUGGGGGUUCGAGAUCGUUUGCUCGUCACAUGGAGCACAUGAUAGGUAAUUUUUAAUUUCUAAUUAGCAUAUAAUUAUCUAGUUAUUUAAAUUUUUUUAAUUAAUUCUCAAAUUGUAGAGAAAUACUGAGAGUGGUGAACUUCCUGAUAGGAUCGAUAUCUACCAGCAGACCCACC
rnacentral:lncRNA from 1 species